CACAGGAAACACAAGGAUAUUUCUGCAUUUAACUGUGUCACGUCAUAUGUGGAAGUGAAAUGAUGUUCUACAUUUGGAGAAGCCACUUGCUUCUCUCCAAAACCCAGUCUGCACACAAUAAAUUACAGCUAGAACAGCACUAUUUCUUUUUAAAUAUUCAGAUGAGAGGAAACUACAGGGAAGAAAACCAAACCACACAACAA